CUACGGGUUGCACCAGUGGGGAAUAUUGCACAAUGGGCGCAAGCCUGAUGCAGCCAUGCCGCGUGUAUGAAGAAGGCCUUCGGGUUGUAAAGUACUUUCGGCGGGGAGGAAGGGAGUAAAGUUAAUACCUUUGCUCAUUGACGUUACCCGCAGAAGAAGCACCGGCUAACUCCGGGCCAGCAGCCGCGGUAAUACGGAGGGUGCAAGCGUUAAUCGGAAUUACUGGGCGUAAAGCGCACGCAGGCGGUUUGUUAAGUCAGAUGUGAAAUCCCCGGGCUCAACCUGGGAACUGCAUCUGAUACUGGCAAGCUUGAGUCUCGUAGAGGGGGGUAGAAUUCCAGGUGUAGCGGUGAAAUGCGUAGAGAUCUGGAGGAAUACCGGUGGCGAAGGCGGCCCCCUGGACGAAGACUGACGCUCAGGUGCGAAAGCGUGGGGAGCAAACAGGAUUAGAUACCCCGGUAGUC
rnacentral:rRNA from 1 species